UGUUUGGUUUAAGAUUGUGGCGUUCACUAACUGCCUUCAUUAUCUCGGGGUCUGGAGUGAGUAUCUUACGAAGUUUCUGAAAAGAGAAACACGCCAUCUGAAGACUUCUUACCAAUGUGAAUAAUGGUGAUAUGUAUUUCCAGCAAACCAGGGUCGAUAGUAAUUUACCUGGCUGUCAAGUCCUAGCGUUAUCAGCAUAAAGAAGAACAGUAUGGCCCACAGUGUCGACACAGGCAUCUGAGAGAUGGCUUCUGGGUAGAUAA